AGAGUUUGAUCCUGGCUCAGAUUGAACGCUGGCGGCAUGGCUAAAACAUGCAAGUCGAACGAGAACCUCGCAAGAGGGGACAGUGGCGGAAGGGUCAGUAAUGGGAUCGAAUGUACCCCGAGGUGGAGGAUAGCGUUGGGAAACUAACGGUAAUACUCCAUGUCCUCUACGGAGAAAAGAUUUAUCGCCUUGGGAGCAGCGAUCCUCCUAUCAGGUAGUUGGCGGGGUAAAAGCCCACCAAGCCGAAGACGGGUAGCGGGUGUGAGAGCACGGCCCGCGACAUCGAGACUGAGACACUGCUCGGACUCCUACGGGAGGCUGCAGUAACGAAUAUUCCGCAAUGCGCGAAAGCGUGACGGAGCAAUGCCGCGUGCAGGAUGAAGCGGUUUUGCCGUGUAAACUGCUGUCAGGGAUAAGAAAUACUGAUCUAUCCCAGAGGAAGGGGCGACUAACUCUGUGCCAGCAGUCGCGGUAAUACAGAGGCCCCGAGCGUUAAUCGGAAUCACUGGGCUUAAAGGGUGCGUAGGCGGGUCAGUAAGCGCUUUGUGAAAUCCCAUGGCUCAACCAUGGAACCGCAGGGCGAACUGCUGACCUUGAGGAAGCUAGAGGCUGGUAGAACGAUAGGUGGAGCGGUGGAAUGCGUAGAGAUCUAUCGGAAUGCCGAAAGUGAAGACAGCCAGCUGGGGCUUUCCUGACGCUAAAGCACGAAAGCGUGGGGAGCAAACCGGAUUAGAUACCCUGGUAGUCC
rnacentral:rRNA from 1 species